AGCAACUCCACUACUGAGCAGGGAGCUGAAGGAAUUGGAAACAGGAAACCAGAUACCUGGUAGUAUUGUUCGCCGUCUCAGACAGGUGGGUAAACAGCACAACCCUGUUCUCCAGGUGAGUGCCACUGCCCUGGAAAGGAAGGACGUGUACAGAUGCUGCAUCGCACAUGCACCCCCUUAGCGCCUGUGUCACACCUAGGGACGCACGCCACCAUGUCCCUGAUGUGAGGUGCCUGGGCAGCCACUUCACGGGCAGAAAGCAGAGUGGGUGCUGGAGGCUGGGAGGGGGAAUCCAUGUGUGAUGGGGACAGUUUCAGGUGGAAGAGGACAAGGCUCUGGAGGUGGACAGCGGUGGCGGCUAUAGAACAAAGGGACUGCUGUGAGGAAUAGGAAGUCUAGUGGUCCAUCUUCAGAAUUCAGUAUUCAGCCUUAAUUGGAUCCAUUGUAGAUGAAAAGAUAGUGAUUACCUGCCCCCGCUGCCCCCCCAAAAUAGGCAAAAAGCCAAAGUCUUGGCCAGCGCUGUGGGUGAGAGUGUGAAGACCAGGCCAGCUCUGUGAGCAGUGUGAAGUGUUCCAGGGCAUGCUCUGAGAGUUAAAAAACACACAAGUUAUGAAAGC
rnacentral:lncRNA from 1 species